UAACUCAGUCCGUUGAGUGUGGCGCUGACAACGCUAAGGUCGCAGGUUCGAUUCCUGU
rnacentral:tRNA from 1 species